CGUGCUUCGCGUUUCUCUCUCUCUCGCACGCGUCUCUCUCUUUCUGUCGGCGCCGAGCUUCCACGGUGCGUGUUCUGUGCUGGGCUGCUCGCCGGCCGACCUGCUUGCUCCGGCUGUCGUGCCCCUGCUGUCGCCGUCGCGCUCGCCGCCGUGCACCGGCCGAGUUCCCGCCGCCGCGCCGCGCGUUGCCGAGCCGCCGUGCGCCGCGUGCCUGCGCUGCUGCUGCUGCCGGCGCGGCUGCGCGUUGCCGAGCCGCCGUGCGCCACCGUCCGUCGCGGGCCGCCGUGCCUCUGCGCUGUGAGAAGAAGCAAGCACAGGAGAAGCAAGCAAGCAGCCGGCGGGAGAAGGAAGCCAGGAAGGAAGAGAAGGAAAGAAAAAGAAAAGAAAAGAGGAAAAAAAAAAGGGGGAAAAAAGAAGAGAGAGGAAAAAGGUGAAAAUUUUGGAUUUUCGUCAGAUUCGUCGUCAAUCCUUUGAAGGUGGUACUAUUUUCGGACGUUCUUGAUCGAAUUUUCUUCAUCGUCGGUAAAGGCAAGUGAAUGUAUUGUAUGACUAUGCUUUAACCUAAUAUUGGGUUGCCUACAUUCUUUAAUUACAGUGCAUUCAUCUAAUCUGAAUGACUGAUUCUGGGCUGAGUACUAUGUUGUUUACGUUUCCAGAAGUUUACUCGAUGAUUGAUUUAUGAAGUGCAGUAUGUUUAGAUGUUGACGUGCAUUUUGGGGAUGGAUCUCGGUAGCUGCACACACUAACUUAUCACGAUGUCGAUAGCUCAACCGGUGUAUACAAACGUUGUGCCUGAUGGUCUGUCAUUUGCUUUUGUUUAUGUUGUGGUACGACGCUGGUAGCGUAGUGGCGAACUCUAUAUAUGCUGGUUAUAUCUGAUUCUGUCUGCCUGAGAUUUCUCUUUUGGUCAGUUAUACAUCUCUAUAGAGGAAAUG